CUUUUUUUUUUUUGUCUUUUUUUUUUUUUUUUUUUUUUUUAUUGGUGUUCAAUUUACUAACAUACAGAAUAACACCCAGUGCCCGUCACCCAUUGUUUCUCGUCUUUUUGAUUCUAGCCAUUCUGUGAGGGGAUAUCUUACUGUGGUUUUCAUUUGCAUUUCCUUGAUGGGUAAUGAUGUUGAGCAUCUUUUCAUGUGUCUGUUGGCCAUCUGGAUGUCUUGUUUGGAAAAAUGUCAAGCCCUCUGUCCAUUUUUUUAAUUGGAUUGUUUUUUGGUGUUGAGUUAUACAACUUCUUUUAUUUGGGAUAUUAUUAGGAUAUACUUUAAUAUUUUGAAUAUUAACCCCUUAUCAGGUAUAUCAUUUGCAGUAUCUUCUCCCAUUCAGUGAAUUGCCUUUUCAUUUUAUUGAUGGUUUUCUUUGCUGUGCAAAAGCUUUUUAGUUUGAUGUAGCCUCAUUUAUUUUUGCUUUUGUUUCCCUGGCCUGAGGGAACAGAUCUAGAAAAAUAUUGCUUAAGGCUGACGUCAAAGAGAUUUGUGUGCAUCAGCAGUUGAUUUAUACUUAUUGCUGGGUAGUAUCCCAUUGGAUGAAUGCACCCAGGUAGAUCUUUCACCAGUUGAUGGACAUCUGGGUUGUUUCCAGUUUUGGGUGGUUAUGAAUACAGUUGCUAUAAGCAUUUAUAUACAAGUUUUUGUGUGAUCAAAAGUUUUCAUUUUUCUUAGGUAAAUACUUAGAAGUGGGAUGGCUGGAUAAUGUGGUAAGUGCAUAUUUUACUUAAUAAGAAAUUGCCCAACUCUUUACAAAAACGGCUAUAGCAUUUUGCAUUUCCACCAGCAACGUAGGAGAGUUCUGGUGGCUCCACAUCCUCCAGCUCUUGGCAUUGCCAGUCUUCCCACCUGCGCCCUCCAAUCUAAUAGGUGUAUACUAGUAUCUUAUCAUGGUUUUUAGAUUUAUUUAAUGGCUAGUGAUGUUGAGCACCUUUUCAUGAACUUGUUUGCCUCUUUUAUAUCCUCUUUGCUGAAGUAGCUGUUCAAAUCUUUUGCCCAGUUGUUUUCUUGUUGAGUUUUAAGAGUUCUUUAUAUAUUUGGAAUAUUGAGUUUUAAGAGUUCUUUAUAUAUUUGGAAUAUAUCUAUAAGGGCUCAAAGGAUCUGGGGCUCAUCAAGGAAAAGGAUAAACCACAAGAGGCAGUAAUACACAAUAUUUACUGAGAGGUGCUUGGAGAGCGUUGUGUGGAGGGGAAGUUCUUCAUCUCAUGAAGCUGGCUGGAGGUCUGUGGUGCGGGGGCCACCAUCCAGGAGGGGAGGACUCUAGGGUACUCUGGGAGAGAGGAGAUGGAGAUGGGAGAAGGGGAUUUCUGUGUCUAGGUAUAUAGCUCAACAGCGCAGCUUGUGUUGGGUUGGGGAGCUCCAGGUCAAAGACACCCCCCAUGACCAAUAACCGCAGCAACCUGAGGCUUAUAGCCAUAGGGCUCUGGCUUAUCAGUGGUCAUUGGCAAGAGCUGUCAGGUAAGGUAAGGUUUCAGUGGGGAUAUGAAAAGCAGGCUCUCAAUGGCUAAAAAUGUGCUUGUUUGGGGUAUUUCAAAAUAAUAUGUUAAAAUUUGAAUUUGGCACCAGCACAUUCUUGAGGUAGCAGGUCUCAUGCCUGUUUUUGGAUCCAAUGAUAAAGCAUCCUUAGGAUCCCAGAAUCCUAUAAAGUCACAAACUAGGAUUUCAGAACCUUUUCAGCCAGUCUGCCCAUUAGUAGUUGAGAGCCAAGUGAAUUGAUCCAAAAUUUAUCUGUUUAGUUAGCAGAUAAAUUUUUUUUAGUUAGUAUUGUGGCACCUUUGAUCUCUGUCCUGUACUCUGUAAAAUUGGUGAGUGUUGUUCAUCCACAGGCAGCAGGAUGUGCUAACAAGCACUAGACACCCUCCACCCCAGCCAUGUGGGGCUAGGGUGACUAGCCACAGAAUGUGUAGUUGUGAUGUAGUUUUGCAAUGUAGGUGAGGUUUGGUGGGGUGAAGUUUGGAGCCAAUGACUAAGAAUUCUUGAGAUGUCUUCGGUACAAAAAGGUGGUUUUAUUAAAGCACGGAGACAGGACCUGUGGGCAGGAACAGCUGCUGCACUGGGGUUGUGAGGGGUGGCUGAUUGUAUACUUGGGAGGUGGGAGAUAUAAGGAAAAGGGAGAUUUUGAAAAGAACUUUAAUAGGCUAAAGAGGACCUACCAAAUACUGGGGGCAUCGCCAUUGUCAAGUUGGGUUUUUUUUUUUCCCCUCUAGCAAGGCAUUAACAUUAAGACAGCUGGGAGCUUCCUGGAGGAAUGUCACACAUAUCCCACCCAGGAGUUGGAGAGGUUGCUGGGUGUCAGCUUGUGCUUUGUCCUCAGCUGGCCUUCUGAUCCCUCAUCAGUUGCACUGGUGAAGGUAAUAGGGAAAAGGCAUAGUCACAGAGUAGGGGUUAAAGUUGCAGGGAAGCUGUUGGUCUUCUGGGAAUCACCCAUAUGGUGCUAUCCCAUUCAGGGCAAUUAAUUCUGUUAACAAAAAUUCAACCAAGUAAAUCUUCAUAAUUUUUCAAUUAGUUUAAAAAAGAUUUUAUUUCUUUGCUGGAGAUAGCAAAAGAGCACAAGCGGGCGGGGGGGGGGGGGGAGACAGGGGGAGAAGCUGACUCCCCACUGAGCAGGGAGCCCAACACAGGACUUGAUCCCAGGACCCUGGGAUCAUGACCGGAGCUGAAGGCAGAACUUAACUGACUGAGCUACCCAGGCACCCCUCAACCAAGUAAAUUUGAAAGAUCCAUCUCCAUCUAGCAAGUCAAGGGGAGCUCCAAAGGGCUACAGAAAAGGAAAAGUUCCUAGGGAGUAGAAAAAGGGAAAUCAUUAGUAAAGAACCAUUGUUUUAGGAAAGGUUGCACCCCUAAGGGGAACAGCAGGGGCAUAGCAGUAAAUCUCCCAGUGCUGACCAGGAACAUCCCAUGUUGACUGGGUAAAGAGGAUAUUUCUAGGGGGCUGAAACUGCAGUUAGGUCAAGGCCCCAAGACAGCCAAAUGUGGUCUCCUUUUCCACAGCUCUGUCUCCUGGGUGUUAGGAGCAGGUCCAAGUUUGCUCCAUAGCCUGUAGUGGGGCAACGUACAUGCGUGAUAGGGAGGACACUUCUCUCUUUCUGGUAAAGUUUUUACUAAAUAGAACGUGUUAGUCAAAUAUAUCAACCACUUGUUCCUGUUUUUUGAAUGUAUCCAUUCAAGCAAUGAUAUGGCAGAGGCAUUCUAAUUAAAGGAAGAGCCCUGUUUAAUUCUCUGUUGUCUACAGUAAGCCAGCCCAGGGGGAUGAAAAAGGGAGUGUGUGUGUGUGUGAGCCUGGGUGGCUCAGCACUUGCGCGUCUGCCUUUGGCUCCUGGGAUCCGGGAUGAGUGCCCCAUUGGGCUCCUUGCCGGGAGCCUGCUUCUCCCUCUGCUUAUGUCUCUGCCUCUCAGUCUUUCAUGAAUAAAUAAAUAAAAUCU
rnacentral:lncRNA from 1 species